rnacentral:rRNA from 1 species
CUUUCUUUGCUGACGAGCGGCGGACGGGUGAGUAAUGCCUGGGAAAUUGCCCUGAUGUGGGGGAUAACCAUUGGAAACGAUGGCUAAUACCGCAUGAUGCCUACGGGCCAAAGAGGGGGACCUUCGGGCCUCUCGCGUCAGGAUAUGCCCAGGUGGGAUUAGCUAGUUGGUGAGGUAAUGGCUCACCAAGGCGACGAUCCCUAGCUGGUCUGAGAGGAUGAUCAGCCACACUGGAACUGAGACACGGUCCAGACUCCUACGGGAGGCAGCAGUGGGGAAUAUUGCACAAUGGGCGCAAGCCUGAUGCAGCCAUGCCGCGUGUAUGAAGAAGGCCUUCGGGUUGUAAAGUACUUUCAGUCGUGAGGAAGGGGGUAUCGUUAAUAGCGGUAUUCUUUGACGUUAGCGACAGAAGAAGCACCGGCUAACUCCGUGCCAGCAGCCGCGGUAAUACGGAGGGUGCGAGCGUUAAUCGGAAUUACUGGGCGUAAAGCGCAUGCAGGUGGUUUGUUAAGUCAGAUGUGAAAGCCCGGGGCUCAACCUCGGAGUUGCAUUUGAAACUGGCAGGCUAGAGUACUGUAGAGGGGGGUAGAAUUUCAGGUGUAGCGGUGAAAUGCGUAGAGAUCUGAAGGAAUACCGGUGGCGAAGGCGGCCCCCUGGACAGAUACUGACAC